rnacentral:rRNA from 1 species
GACGAACGCUGGCGGCGUGCUUAACACAUGCAAGUCGAACGGUAAGGCCCUUCGGGGUACACGAGUGGCGAACGGGUGAGUAACACGUGGGUGAUCUGCCUGCACUUCGGGAUAAGCCUGGGAAACUGGGUCUAAUACCGGAUAGGACCAUGGACUUCACGGUUUGUGGUGGAAAGCUUUUGCGGUGUGGGAUGGGCCCGCGGCCUAUCAGCUUGUUGGUGGGGUAAUGGCCUACCAAGGCGACGACGGGGUAGCCGGCCUGAGAGGGUGUCCGGCCACACUGGGACUGAGAUACGGCCCAGACUCCUACGGGAGGCAGCAGUGGGA